rnacentral:rRNA from 1 species
AUCCCGGUUUAGUUGGAAGUAGGCGAUGGGUAGGCAAAUCCGCCCGUCAUAUACCGAGGCCAACGAUCGAGCCAGCUUGCUGGUGAAGUGACUGAACGAGGUUCCAGGAAAAGCCACUAAGCUUCAGCUAUACACGACCGUACCGCAAACCGACACUGGUGCGCGAGAUGAGUAUUCUAAGGCGCUUGAGAGAACUCAGGAGAAGGAACUCGGCAAAUUGACACCGUAACUUCGGAAGAAGGUGUGCCCUAUUAGUGUGAAGUGAACAACGGAGCAUGAAUGGGUUGCAAAAAAUCGGUGGCUGCGACUGUUUAUUAAAAACACAGCACUCUGCAAACACGAAAGUGGACGUAUAGGGUGUGACGCCUGCCCGGUGCUGGAAGAUUAAAUGAUGGGGUGCAAGCUCUUGAUUGAAGUCCCAGUAAACGGCGGCCGUAACUAUAACGGUCCUAAGGUAGCGAAAUUCCUUGUCGGGUAAGUUCCGACCUGCACGAAUGGCGUAACGAUGGCCACACUGUCUCCUCCUGAGACUCAGCGAAGUUGAAAUGUUUGUGAUGAUGCAAUCUCCCCGCGGAAAGACGGAAAGACCCCAUGAACCUUUACUGUAGCUUUGUAUUGGACUUUGAACAGAUCUGUGUAGGAUAGGUGGGAGGCUUUGAAGCAGGGUCGCUAGAUCCUGUGGAGCCAACGUUGAAAUACCACCCUGGUGUGUUUGAGGUUCUAACCUAGGUCCAUUAUCUGGAUCGGGGACAGUGCAUGGUAGGCAGUUUGACUGGGGCGGUCUCCUCCCAAAGCGUAACGGAGGAGUUCGAAGGUACGCUAGUUACGGUCGGACAUCGUGACGAUAGUGCAAUGGCAUAAGCGUGCUUAACUGCGAGACUGACAAGUCGAGCAGAUGCGAAAGCAGGACAUAGUGAUCCGGUGGUUCUGUAUGGAAGGGCCAUCGCUCAACGGAUAAAAGGUACUCUGGGGAUAACAGGCUGAUACCGCCCAAGAGUUCAUAUCGACGGCGGUGUUUGGCACCUCGAUGUCGGCUCAUCUCAUCCUGGGGCUGUAGCCGGUCCCAAGGGUAUGGCUGUUCGCCAUUUAAAGAGGUACGUGAGCUGGGUUUAAAACGUCGUGAGACAGUUUGGUCCCUAUCUUCCGUGGGCGCUGCAGAUUUGAGGAAGCCUGCUCCUAGUACGAGAGGACCGGAGUGGACACACCUCUGGUGUAUCGGUUGUCACGCCAGUGGCAUUGCCGAGUAGCUAAGUGUGGAAGAGAUAACCGCUGAAAGCAUCUAAGCGGGAAACUCGUUUCAAGAUGAGAUCUGCCGGGGCCUUGAGCCCCCUGAAGAGUCGUUCAAGACCAGGACGUUGAUAGGGCAGGUGUGGAAGCGCAGUAAUGCGUUAAGCUAACUGAUACUAAUUGCUCGUGCGGCUUGACCCU